rnacentral:lncRNA from 1 species
ACAACGCGUCUUUUGACACACCUCUUCCAUGUCACAAAAAUCAUGGAAUUGGCCCAUCCAGGACCUGCUAGUCUUAUAUACGUGGUGCUAUACUAUCCAUACACCGAUCCUACCACGAGAAAUUUCACCAUCUUUCAAAACAUACUCGAAAUUACCAUAAUUUCUAAUCUCCAGUUGCUUUGUGUGUUAAGGUAUUAAAAUCUUAAACAUAAAUUUUAGUACUGGAGGUGUCUUUUCAAGGAUGGUAAAAAUAUCCAAAUAACCGUUUAAUCAACCCAACGAAACCAACUUAAAAAAAGCGUCAGAAUAAAAUGCAAGUGUAUGCUCUUUACCUUCAAUCUCUCAUGCAACAAAAUCAGUAUAAUAAAAGAACAACUUUCUUGUGCCAUCAUCCUGAACAAGAACACUGAACGCAUAAAGCAUGUGUGCAAAACGAAGAUCACACCACGAGGGAGUAAAGCCAAAGAAGGUUGUUGAGAAG